rnacentral:rRNA from 1 species
AGGGUUCGAGUUCUGGCUCAGGAUGAACGCUAGCUACAGGCUUAACACAUGCAAGUCGAGGGGUAGCAGGGUAGCAAUACCGCUGACGACCGGCGCACGGGUGAGUAACACGUAUCCAACCUUCCCAUAACUCAGGGAUAGCCUUUCGAAAGAAAGAUUAAUACCUGAUAGUACUUUUUCAAGGCAUCUUGAGAAAGUUAAAGAUUUAUUGGUUAUGGAUGGGGAUGCGUUCCAUUAGAUAGUUGGUGAGGUAACGGCUCACCAAGUCUUCGAUGGAUAGGGGUUCUGAGAGGAAGGUCCCCCACAUUGGUACUGAGACACGGACCAAACUCCUACGGGAGGCAGCAGUGAGGAAUAUUGGUCAAUGGGCGAGAGCCUGAACCAGCCAAGUAGCGUGAAGGAAUGAAGGUCCUAUGGAUUGUAAACUUCUUUUAUAGUAGAAUAAAGUGAUCCACGUGUGGAUUUUUGUAUGUAUACUAUGAAUAAGGAUCGGCUAACUCCGUGCCAGCCGCGGC